UGCAGCAAUUGGUGUAAACAGUCCAGCAAAUAGAACAUUUGGUCUACCAUUUUUUCCCGCUGCUUUGGUUGCACCCAUGGUGACCACUGUAUUUUCCAGAACUGAAUAUUCAGUGCUGCCAUCGCAGUGUUCAAACAAGCAUUAUUUAAGCCAACAUAAAAUAGGUGUUCCGAUAUAUAUCGCUGACAAGCCUUACGAUUGGGCUACCUACAUUUUUUGAGAUCACAAUGUUUCAUACAUGGCAAGCAACACCAUGAAGGCUAGAGAGACUCCUCUCACGUCUCACAUUCGUGACCUAAAAAUAUUGCAUCACAUAUGAAAGAAAGAUAUAGGUAGGCGUCAUGAAAUUUGAUGUUAAUAUUACGACCCAUACUUUUGUGUUGCAAAAUACAACGCAAUUAUUACAUGGAAGACGUCACAAAUCUGACGCUACAUUUAUUGCCAAAUGAGUGGAACGACACGUUUCUGCAACCGGCGGCCUCAGUACAUCACUUGUGCUCGCGACCAAGGCAUAGUAUCUUGCAUAACUGAAGCACAAAGCUGCACAAAUAAUAUGCGAUUUGACGCGCCCUUACGUCCGCAAGUUGUAAUAUAUGAAGCAGUUGUCUGGUAUUAAGCACUACAGACAAAAAUGACUGCACUGUUAAACGUGCGGAGAGACGUCUGUGACCGCAAUGCUUGUGCACCUUCCACAGUGUUGCCUGCCAUGUAUGAAAUUAUGUAUAGUGAGAUUACUAUUGGUGCUCAAUAUGAGCUGCAAGCCGUAGGUUCAGCUACUCUCUCGGGAAGAAAGUGGAGAGGGUUUGGUCAUUCCAGAAAUGCAAAUCCCUCGUGCUUUACGCUGUC
rnacentral:lncRNA from 1 species